ensembl:lncRNA
GGAGGGGAAGGUCAGGGCCCACAUGGGUGUCCAGGGGACAAUCGAGAGCCAUGUGUUAGACGUGCUCCAUCUGAAGCGCCUACGGGCUAUGUAGCAGAGACGAGAUGCACUGGAACACUUUACUGAACGUUUCCCCCGAGGUACCCUCAUUCCAAAAGUCUAAGGGAUGAAUCCAAACUAUUCAGGUAUCACCCCUCAUUUCUUCAUAGGUGCUUAUAUGAUCUGUUCUCUUUUUUUAAUCUAAAAACUGGACAAGCAGGUGUCGGAGGUUGGAGAUGGGGGAGGAGCCUCUCUUUAAAAUUGCUUUGGGGCAGGGCUGUCUGCCUGUAACAUUGAUGCCAGGUUCACUCUGGGUCGGGAAAGUUUCUGGAAUCAUCUUUUGAAUUAUUCAUGGCUGCAUUGCUGGUAAGGGCUUGAAAGUUACACCUGCAUUGCAACGUGGCCCUGCUCGAUUCCUAAUUACGUGAUCUCGGGCCAGACAUGUGAUCUCUGUAGGUCUCAGUUCUCUUAUUUGUGGACUUGGUACAAGAACCCUGCCCUGGGUUGCGGUGAGAUUACACAAGACGGUGAGUGCAUCCUGCGGCCAGCAGCUGGGGUGAUUACCAUCACAAUCAUUUGCGUUGUCACCACGGCCACCACAUUAUCCCCGCCACCUGCAAGUGAACCUUUGUGGUCGUUCUUCCAGGCUCAUGGUUUCUGCAAUGUCAUCUUCAUGCUUGAUGCUGUGAAGUAUCUAUCACAAUUACAAGCUUAGUAUCGGAAUCCACUAACCUGUCUCGCCUUUACAGGCACUCUCUCUCUCUUUUUAAAAUAGGUGGUGGAAAUCCAGAUGUGCUGGAGUGAUGGCUUUUGCCUGGUGCUCCAGCCCCAGCACGCAGGCUCCUCUUUGGGUCCCUCCCACUAUUCUUCCCACCCGGGGGCAGUUAGCGGUAACCAGACUGGGGCUGGUCUUUUCUCCAAAUAUCCCCUUUAUUUUUGGCGGGAUCCUUGCUGGACUUUGCUAGUUGUCCUUUAUUUGGGUAUUACUCUCGCUUUGUCUGAGUAUUUCCCCCAAGGAAAGCUAUCCCUUUGGCCAUCUUCCUGGAAGUUGAUUUCUUCCUUAAAUGCUAGAAAAGAGGCACGUUCCAAAAGCGCCCUGAUUAUUGACGUCACAGACAGGUCCUCUGUCCUUGACGGUGUGCACAUUUGGAAGAAAGGGAGUCCAAAGCCACGAGGUCUGUCCUCCUGCCAGAGAGGCAGACAAUGAGGGGCCAUUGUCUGGGGAUUUACGAGGACUUUCCUUCAGCAGCAAAUUCCUCGGCCACCAAGGGCAGCCUUAUAAGGAAAGUAUGUGCUGGAACAAUGGAGGUGUUUGGAAAUGAGUCAUGUCAUUUCCAGGAAUGGCAUUAACAGACCAAAAAUAUUAAUUCUCCCACCGGAGUUUAUCAGUGGGAUGUGAUGGCCACGGGCUCUGCCAGCGCUGUGUACUUUGGCGGGUUGAGAGCCUCGUCCAUCUGCUUCCCGGUCAGCACAGAGGGGGAAGCACGCAGGUGAACCCUUCGUCCUGCUCUCACGACAGGCAUGGCCCAUGUCUCCAGGGUGGCAUCCGCCUGCUCAAGGAACUCCCAGUGCAGCGGCAAAGAGGACGCAGGGGAAACGGCGCAGGACAGUAGCAGCAGCAGCACACGUGAGCGGAAGCUACAGCAAAGUGGAGCCAGGCUCUGUGGGAGUUCCCAUCAUAAAAUGCUCAUUAUGGAAAUUUGGGAAAGAAAAAAAGAAGACACCACUUCAGGUCCCAUCACCAGAGAAAACCGUGGCUUUACCAUAUGUUCUUGAGAACUUUCACGUUGUAGUUCAAGAAAAAAAAAGGUCGUUCUCAUAUGCCGUGUAUCCAAUCUUAUUUCCUUUGCAACAGAAUCAUUGCACAGAACACUUCACCAUGACUCACACAUGUACGAACGAAUGUCAUUAACUCUUGAUGAGCAUAGAUUUUUAUCGCUUUACCAUCAUUAUCAUUAACAGAAUUUGCCACAGUCCACCUAAGAACCUCCCUGUUGGACAUCUGGGUGGUUUGUAUUUUUCACGAUUACAAAUAAUGCUAUCCUAUAAUGAACAUUUUGGGGCAUAAAGGUUUUUUUCCAUGUUUUGAAUUCGUUCCUUUGGAUAAACUCCUAGAUGUAGAAUAUUGGAAUAAGGAUACGAAUGCCUCUAAGACUCUUGACAUAUAUUACCUGGCUGACCUUACACCAAGACAGUGCUUUUAGUUAAAUAAGAUAGACUCAAAUACUGAAACAUUUGUGUUUUGUUGGCGAGUUUUAAGAAGGAAUUUGUUCUUCUACUUUGAAGAGCUGUGCAAAGAAUGGUCCUUUCAAGCUUGAAAUGAGAACCCCAGACCCCCCAUGAGCCGAAAGCUUUGGUUUGUUGAUGGUUCAGAGAUCUAAGUUCGGCUUUGCUGUGAGGAAAGAGAAGC